rnacentral:rRNA from 1 species
CCCUUAGAUGUUCUGGGCCGCACGCGUGCUACACUGAGUGGAUCAGCGGGUCAGGUUGCGCGAAAGCGUUUCCUAAUCUUGAAAUCCGCUCGUGAUGGGGAUUGACGGUUGCAAUUUUCUGUCAUGAACGAGGAAUACCUUGUAAGCGCGAGUCAUCAUCCCGCGCUGAAUACGUCCCUGCCCUUUGUACACACCGCCCGUCGCUCCUACCGAUUGAGUGGUCCGGUGAGGCUUUGGGAUCUGAGCGGAAAGAGCGUUUCGCUCGUUCUGCCCGGAAAACUCAGUCGAACCUUAUCAUUUAGAGGAAGUAAAAGUCGUAACA